UCCGCGUCACGCACGGCCGUUUCUGAAACUGGGUGGCUGUUUCAGGACUCAUUUAUGCAGCUGCAUAACGCUCUCGCAGUGCUCCUGCAGGUCCCUUGUGUCUGGGAGGGCGACGGUGGUGGGCUAGGAGGACGACGGGGGCUGCGACGGCGCACGGUGUGGGGUGACGGGGGCGCAUCCAACGCAGUGGCGACGACAACAGCUUCAGGGUCGGCAGUGGCUGGUGGCGACAAAAGCAACAUGCCCGUCUACCAAACUCGAUGGUCGGCAAAGCGGCUGUGCGAGCGGUAGUAUCUAACAUGCUCUGGUUGUUGUAUCAAUGGAUGUGUAUGCUCCGCAACAAAGCAAGUCACUGUCCAUCUCUGCUCCCUAAGCCCAACAAUCAUGUGUGCCUUACAAUCAUGAUGGAGAAUCCUGUUCUUCUGGCGUGUUAUUGUUACAUCCAUUUUCAGCACUAGGCCACCUGCUGGAGUUGCUUGUUUCUGUUGCAAUGCUCUCCGAGGUGCUACUUGUUUCCGGUUUAUCGGGCUUUCUAGCAUGCACACACCCAAAGACCCUCUUGAUCAUUAUUGCAUCCUCUUGCUUCUGGCCCCUCUUCUAGUUGUACUUUGUAGAAGAUAUAUGUGUCCCGAACCCCAACUUGAAGGCAUAGUCAUUAUAGAAUUUCUUGGCAUCCUCAAUUGUGUCAAACACCAUGCCAACAUAGGGCGGUAGUGGUUGCGAUGAAAUAUCUCCAUCAUCUGAAUCAUCUUGCAUCGCAUCAUCAGCAUGCAACAAACCUUCCGAAUCUUCAUUAUCAUCGAUAGAAAAGUUCCCUUGGACAUAGCCCCCUUCCCCUUCAGUCGCAGCUUCCUGAAAUGCGGCACAUUUUUUUUUGUAAAUAGAGCAGGUGUUGUGCAACAGUCAUUUUUUCCUCUACAUGGCAUCAACAGUUCUGUUGCUGUUUCAGAAAUUCAGGAACACAGAUACAUGGCAUAAA